CGAGCGGAAGGCCCUUCGGGGUACUCGAGCGGCGAACGGGUGAGUAACACGUGAGCAACCUGCCCUAGGCUUUGGGAUAACCCUCGGAAACGGGGGCUAAUACCGGAUAUUACUGCUGGACGCAUGUUUGGUGGUGGAAAGUUUUUCGGCCUGGGAUGGGCUCGCGGCCUAUCAGCUUGUUGGUGGGGUGAUGGCCUACCAAGGCGACGACGGGUAGCCGGCCUGAGAGGGCGACCGGCCACACUGGGACUGAGACACGGCCCAGACUCCUACGGGAGGCAGCAGUGGGGAAUAUUGCACAAUGGGCGGAAGCCUGAUGCAGCGACGCCGCGUGAGGGAUGACGGCCUUCGGGUUGUAAACCUCUUUCAGCAGGGACGAAGCGCAAGUGACGGUACCUGCAGAAGAAGCGCCGGCCAACUACGUGCCAGCAGCCGCGGUAAGACGUAGGGCGCGAGCGUUGUCCGGAUUUAUUGGGCGUAAAGAGCUCGUAGGCGGCUUGUCGCGUCGACUGUGAAAACCCGUGGCUCAACUGCGGGCCUGCAGUCGAUACGGGCAGGCUAGAGUUCGGUAGGGGAGACUGGAAUUCCUGGUGUAGCGGUGAAAUGCGCAGAUAUCAGGAGGAACACCGGUGGCGAAGGCGGGUCUCUGGGCCGAUACUGACGCUGAGGA
rnacentral:rRNA from 1 species